UUUUUUAUAUAAGUAUAUCCCAUGCAAUAUUUGGGACAUACUUAUACCAAAA
rnacentral:pre_miRNA from 1 species